AUCUAUACUGUGAAACUGCGAAUGGCUCAUUAAAUCAGUUAUCGUUUAUUUGAUAGUACCUUACUACUUGGAUAACCGUGGUAAUUCUAGAGCUAAUACAUGCUAAAAACCCCGACUUCGGAAGGGGUGUAUUUAUUAGAUAAAAAACCAAUGCCCUUCGGGGCUCCUUGGUGAUUCAUGAUAACUUAACGAAUCGCAUGGCCUUGCGCCGGCGAUGGUUCAUUCAAAUUUCUGCCCUAUCAACUUUCGAUGGUAGGAUAGUGGCCUACCAUGGUAGCAACGGGUAACGGGGAAUUAGGGUUCUAUUCCGGAGAGGGAGCCUGAGAAACGGCUACCACAUCCAAGGAAGGCAGCAGGCGCGCAAAUUACCCAAUCCCGACACGGGGAGGUAGUGACAAUAAAUACUGAUACAGGGCUCUUUCGAGUCUUGUAAUUGGAAUGAGUACAAUUUAAAUACCUUAACGAGGAACAAUUGGAGGGCAAGUCUGGUGCCAGCAGCCGCGGUAAUUCCAGCUCCAAUAGCGUAUAUUAAAGUUGUUGCAGUUAAAAAGCUCGUAGUUGAACCUUGGGCCUGGCUGGCCGGUCCGCCUCACCGCGUGUACUGGUCCGGCCGGGCCUUUCCUUCUGGGGAUCCGCAUGCCCUUCACUGGGUGUGCCGGGGAACCAGGACUUUUACUUUGAAAAAAUUAGAGUGUUCAAAGCAGGCCUUUGCUCGAAUACAUUAGCAUGGAAUAAUAGAAUAGGACGUGCGGUCCUAUUUUGUUGGUUUCUAGGACCGCCGUAAUGAUUAAUAGGGAUAGUCGGGGGCAUCAGUAUUCAAUUGUCAGAGGUGAAAUUCUUGGAUUUAUUGAAGACUAACUACUGCGAAAGCAUUUGCCAAGGAUGUUUUCAUUAAUCAGUGAACGAAAGUUAGGGGAUCGAAGACGAUCAGAUACCGUCGUAGUCUUAACCGUAAACUAUGCCGACUAGGGAUCGGGCGAUGUUAUUAUUUUGACUCGCUCGGCACCUUACGAGAAAUCAAAGUCU
rnacentral:rRNA from 2 species